rnacentral:rRNA from 1 species
UACGGGGGGAGCAAGCGUUGUUCGGAUUUACUGGGCGUAAAGGGCGCGUAGGCGGUCAGCACAAGUCAGUUGUGAAAUCUCCGGGCUUAACUCGGAAAGGUCAACUGAUACUGUGCGACUAGAGUGCAGAAGGGGCAACUGGAAUUCUUGGUGUAGCGGUGAAAUGCGUAGAUAUCAAGAGGAACACCUGCGGCGAAGGCGGGUUGCUGGGCCGACACUGACGCUGAGGCGCGAAAGCUAGGGGAGCGAACAGG